GUUUCUUCUGAGGCGCCGGCGCUUCCUUCGCGGCCGCAGCGGUAGCGUAUUUCACGGCGCGGUGGAGAAGGUGGCCUACAGGGGAGGAGCUAUGAAUAGAAUUUGUGAGUGAUGAUUUAGUUGAAGAGUGACGUAUGGAUGAUCGGAGCAUGGAGGAGAAGAACCUUCGAGAAGCCAUGGUUGUGGAAAUGCGAGUGACAGAGCAGUGAGGUUACA
rnacentral:misc_RNA from 1 species